rnacentral:rRNA from 1 species
GACGAACGCUGGCGGCGUGCUUAACACAUGCAAGUCGAACGGAAAGGCCCUUCUUUUGGGGGGCGCGCGAGUGGCGAACGGGUGAGUAACACGUAAGUACCCGGCCCUUGACUUUGGGAUAACUUCAGGAAACUGGGGAUAAUACCGGAUAGGAGCUCCUGCGGCAUGGUGGGGGUUGGAAAGCUCAGGCGGUUGGGGAUGGACUCGGGGCUUAUCAGCUUGUGGGUGGGGUAGUGGCUUACCAAGGCUUUGACGGGUAGCCGGCCUGAGAGGGUGACCGGCCACAUUGGGACUGAGAUACGGCCCAGAGUCCUACGGGAGGCAGAAGUGGGGAAUAUUACACAAUGGGCGGAAGCCUGAUGCAGCAACGCCGCGUGCGGGAUGACGGCCUUCGGGUUGUAAAACGCUUUCGCCUGUGACGAAGCGUGAGUGACGGUAAUGGGUAAAGAAGCACCGGCUAACUACGUG